CCUGUCUUGGGGAAGCCUCCAGCCCUGUCCCUGGAGGCUCCCAGAUGCUCUGACCCCUCCUGCCUUUCUGCCCAGUCACCAUCAUUCAUCCAAGAGCAUCACCAGUCCACUGUCCUCUGAAAGAUGGGUGGCCAGAGCCAUCCAUGACCUGGGCCUCUGCUUGUGAUUGGGCAGGAUGGGCUUAGAGCUUCAUUCGUCCAUCUUCGGCUGAGGUUCCAACUGAGGCUGUGAUCAGGAAGAAUGGCUGCUAUCAAGAAAUCAACCAAUAACAAAUGCUGGCGGGGAUGUGGGGAGAAAGGAACCCUUCUCUACUGUUGGUGGGAGUGCAGACGG
rnacentral:lncRNA from 1 species